rnacentral:lncRNA from 1 species
GUGGUUUUUUUUCAAUGGAAUGUUUUUGGUAUUUGGUCAAACAUAUAACUAUGUUAACCUCUUCAAUUUCUUAAACAUUUUAAGUGGUAAGAUGUUGUUGAUUCAGAAAUACAUGCCGCCGCUCGCAAAAUUUCAAACUGCAUUAUCUCUAAAACGACAAUAGAUAUCUCAAAUCUGUUAAAUGGUAAAUGAUCUACAGUUAAAGGACAACAUUAUAGAAAAAGAAUUGGGACAAUUUCAAAGUUCACCAAGGUCACAAUUAAUCAUCAAAUAUAUGAUGCAAUACCAAACUUGAGAACCGGAAGUCGUAGAGACAUGGGACUAUCACCAUUCAACUCAGGACCACUUGACCUUUCAAAUAUCACAAGGUCAAGGUCAUAGUAUAAUGUGAAGUUCAAGGUGAAAUUUCAUCAUGACCUGACAUUGACCUCAAAUUGAAGGUUUUGAAUUACUGAUCAUCUUUGCAGUUUAUAGUAGGUUGAUAUCUGUUACCUUUAAAAAGAUAUACACAAAAUACUAUACUUUUAAGAAUCAUCCCGUUGUAACUUUUGAACAGACGGUCGGACAUUUUUGGGCUUAUUAUAUAAAAUGUAGAGCUCGUGGAGAGGAACAAUUUAUACGCUGUAUGUAUGCAGCAAAGUCUUAUCGUUUUCCUAAUAUGUAAUCUUGAAAUUGCAGCGUAAUUUUAUUUUGCACUCUGUGACCUUUGACCUUGGGUGCAUAUUAAAGGUCACAUGAAUUAAAGAUUUUUGGUGAAGGUCCCAAGUCUCUACGACUUCCGGUUCUGGAAAUACAAUUUUUCUAAAAUUGUACACAAUUUUUCAAGGGGAAUAACUCCUUAUAAGGGUUAAUAACAAAAUGAUUGUAUAUGUUCAUAACAUUGCCAUCUGUUCCUGUACAUGUUGCCGUUUUCAAAUCAAUUCUAUCUCUUAUACUUUUUGAGAAAAAAUGCAAAGGAAAAGAAAUUGUUUGAAGGGAUAUAACUCUCAUAGGGGACAAUGAAAUCCUAUCAACCUCAUAUGGUAAUAAUCAUGAUGAGAUCUACCUAUUGUCCAAAUAAUGUCAUGAUAUCUUUAAAAACAACGAGGGGGUGCCGUGUUGAAAAAAAUCAAUAAAAGGGAGAUAACUUCUAAAGUGGAUGAUGAAAUCCUUAACAGGGUCAUUUGGUAAAACUGCAUGAUGAGGUCUAUCAAUGGUCCAUAUUUGAUCUUGGUAACUUUAACAGAAAGAAGGGGCGGGCAUGUCAAAAAAAUGUUGGAAGAAAAAAAAGAAAAACAGUAUCUCAAUUGUUUGUAAAACAUUGAAAGGUCUUUCCUGUAAAAUUGAUGUUUCGUAUUGUACUUUGUACCUUUCGUUUGAUAUACGACAAGCACACCUUCUGAAACUUUUCGCUUUUUACACUUAAUGACCUCAUCCGUCUAAUUUUUGAGAUCGGAAUUUGAUAUAUGGAACAGAGUAGAUGAGCUUUCGUUUGAUAUGCGACAACACCAUGUUCUUGAAAGUUUGAUUUUUUGCAACUUAAUAACCUAUCCAACAAAUUUUGGAGGUCGGGAAUUUGAUAAUUCAAAUGUACACAUCAUGACCUUUCAUUGUAUAUACAACAACCCUACCUUAAAAGAACAUUUAUUUUUUGCACCAAUGACCCCAUCCAACCCCAUUUUUGGACGACGUCAAUUUGAAAUUUGAAAUGUAUGCUUAUGUUCUUUCAUUGAUAUGCGACAACCUUACCAUCUGAGAAAUUUGAAUGUUUGCACUAAAUGACCCCACCGUCCCCCUGGAUGAAAAGGGGUUUUUAAAAUUUUCAUUUUUAAGUAGAGUUUAUUAGACCUUCAAUUUGAAUAUCAGAUGACCCAUUUGACAAAGUGCAAUAAUGAUGCAAUAUAAUUAUAUAAAUAGAAGUUAUGAAACUUACAAAGUCAAUGCAAAACUUGAAAAUUUCAAAUGAUUUUUUGGUGUUUUUUUCCAUGGAAUGUUUUGGUAUUUGUCAAAAUAUACUAUGUCAACCUCUUCAAUUUCUAAAACAUUUUAAGUGGUAAGCUCUUGAUGAUUCAGAAAAUACAUGCCUCCGCUCGAAAAACUUCAAACUGCAUUAUCCUCUAAAACGACAAUAGAUAUCCAAUCUGUUAAAUGAUAAAUGAUCUACAGUUAAAGGACAACAUUAUAGAAAAAGAAUUGGGACAAUUUCAAAAGUUCACCAAGGUCACAAUUAAUCAUCAAAUAUAUGAUGCAAUACAAAACUUGGGAACCGAAGUCGUAGAGACAUGGGACUAUCACCAUUCAACUCAGGACCACUUGACCUUUCAAAUAUUACAAGGUCAAGGUCAUAGUAAAAUGUGAAGGUCAAGGUGAAAUUUCAUCAUGACCUGACAUUGACCUCAAAUUGAAGGUCUUGAACUACUGAUCAUCUUUCAGUUUAGUAGGUUGAUAUCUGUUACCUUUAAAAAGAUAUACACACAAUACUAUAUUUUAAGAAUCAUCCCGUCGUAACUUUUGAACAGACAGUCGGACUCUUUGUGAGUCAGUGUAUAAAAUGUAGAGCUUGUCGAGAGGAACAUUUUAUACCCUGUAAGUAUGCAGCGAACUCUUAUCGUUUUCUUAAUAUGAAGCUUGAAAUUGCAGCGUAAUUUUUUUUGCACUCGGUGACCUUUGACUUGUGCAAAUAAAGGUCACAUGAACUUAAGAUUAUUGGGUAGGUCCCAAGUCUUACGACUUCCGGUUCUCGAAUACAAUUUUUCAAAAAUUGGGUAUUUUUUCAAGGGAAAUACUCCUUAUAAGGGUUAACAACAAAAUGAUGUAUAUGUAAUUAACAUUGCCAUCUGGUCUGUACAUGUUGCCGUUUUCAAAUCGAUUCUAUCUUGAAUACUUUUUUGAAGAAAAAUGUAAAAGAAAAGAAAUUGCUUCAAGGGACAUAACUCUCAUAGGGAAUGAUGAAAUCCUUAGCAGCCUCAUAUGGUAACACAUCUGAUGAGAUCUAACUAUUGUCCAAAUAAGGUCAUGAUAUCUUUAAAAACAACGAGGGGGGGCCAUGUCGAAAAAAACCAUUAAAAGGGAGAUAACUCUAAAGGGGAUGAUGAAAUCCUACACAGCCUCAUUGUAAUACUUCAUGAUGAGGUCUACCGAUGGUCCAUAUUUGGUCUUGAUAACUCCAAUAGAAACAAGGGGAGGCCAUGUUAAAACAAAUGCUGGAUGAAAAAAAAAAAAAAAAAAAAAAAAAAAAACAGGAGAAACUAGUAUCUCAAUUGUUUGUAAACAAUUGAAGGUCUUUCCUGUAAAAGUGAUGUUUUCGUAAUGUUCUUUGUACGACUUUCGUUUGAUAUAUGACAAGCAUACUUCUGAAACUUUCGCUUUUUACACUAAUGACCUCAUCCGCCUACAUUUUUGAGAUCGGAAUAUAUAUAUGUAAACAGGUAGAUGAGCUUUCAUUUGAUAUGCGACAACGCCAUGUUCUAAGAAAAGUUUGAUUUUGCACUUAAUAACCCUAUCCAACUAAUUUUUGGAGGUCGGGCUUUGAUAUUCAAAUGUACACAUCAUGACCUUUCAUUUAUAUACAACAACCCUACCUUAAAAGAACAUUUAUUUUUUCACUCAUGACCCCAUCCAACCCAUUUUUGGAGACGUCAAUUUGAAAUUUGAAAUGUAUGCUUUAUGUUCUUUCAUUUGAUAUGCGACACCUUACCAUCUGAGAAAUUUGAAUGUUUGCACUAAAUGACCCCACCCGUCCCCUGGGAUGAAGAGGGGGUUUAAAAUUUUCAUUUUAAGUAGAGUUUAUUAGACCUUCAAUUUGAUAUAUCAGAUGACCCCAUUUGACAAAGUGCAAAUAAUGAUGCAAUAUCAACUAUAUAAAUAGAAGUUAUGAAACUUACAAAGUCAAUGCAAAACUUGAAAAUUUCAAAUUAAAUUUUUGGCGUUUUUUCCAUGGAAUGUUUUUGGUAUUUGGGCAAAUAUAACUAUGUUAACCUCUUCAUUUCUAAACAUUUUAAGUGGUAAGCUCUUGUUGAUUCAGAAAUACAUGCCUCCGCUUCGCAAAACUUCAAACUGCAUUAUCUCUAAAACGACAAUAGAUAUCUCAAAUCUGUUAAAUGAUAAAUGAUCUACAGUUGAAAGACAACAUUAUAGAAAAAGAAUUGGACAAUUUCAAAAGUUCACCAAGGUCACAAUUAAUCAUCAAAUAUAUGAUGCAAUACAAAACUUAGAACCGGAAGUCGCAGAGACAUGGGACUACACCAAUCAACUCAAGACCACUUGACCUUUCAAUCACAAGGUCAAGGUCAUAGUAAAUGUGAAGGUCAAGGUGAAAUUUCAUCAUGACCUGACAUUGACCUCAAAUUGAAGGUCUUGAAUUACUGAUCAUCUUUGCACUUUAGUAGGUUGAUAUCUGUUACCUUUAAAAAGAUAUACACACAAUACUAUACUUUUAACAAUCAUCCCGUUGUAUCUUUUGAACAGACGGUCGGACAUUUUUGGGCUUAUUGUAUAAAAUGUAGAGCUCGUCGAGAGGAACAUUUUAUACGCUGUAUGUAUGCAGCAAAGUCUUAUCGUUUUCCUAAUAUGUAAGCUUGAAAUUGCAGCGUAAUUUUUUUUUGCACUCGGUGACCUUUGACCUUGGGUGCAUAUUAAAGGUCACAAGAAUUUAAGAUUAUUGGUGAAGGUUACCAAGUCUCUAUGACUUCCGGUUCUCGAUAUAAAUUUUUGAAAAAAAUUAUGUGAAUUUUAAAGGGAAAUAACUCCUUAUAAGGGUUAAAUAACAAAAUAAUUUAUGUUAUAAACAUUGCCAUUUGUUCUAUUACAUGCUGUUAUUUUCAAUUAAAUUCUAUCUCUAAUACUUUUUGCAAAAAAUGCAAAUAAAAGAAAUUGCUUCAAGGGGAUAUAACUCUCAAAGUAAUGAUGAAAAUCCUAUGCAGCUCAAUGGUAAUACAUCAUAAUUAGAUCUACCUAUUUGUCCAAAUAAGUCAUGAUAUCUUUUAACACAUUUUGGGGGGACCAUGUUGAAAAAAAUCAAUAAAAGGGAGAUAACUUCUUAAGGGGAAGGUGAAAUUCUACAAAAGUUCAUCUGGUAAAAGUUCAUGUUGAGGUCUAUCGAUGGUUUAAUUUGGUCUUGAUAACUCAACAUAGAAGCGGUAGGAGGGCGAGCCAAAAAAAUGCUGGAAGAAAAAGAAAAAAAAACAUUAGAAAAACAAUAAGGUCUUUCCCAUGUAGGGGAAAGACCUUAACAAUAAGGUCUUUCCUCGCGGAGAGGAAAGACCUUAAAAAAAACACUAGUAUCUCAAUUGUUUGUAAAACAAUUGAAAGGUCUUUCCUGUAAAAGUGAUGUUUUCGUAAUGUACCUUGUACGACCUUUCGUUUGAUAUACGACAAGCAUACCUUCUGAAACUUUCCACUUUUAACACUUAAUGACCUCAUCCGCCUACAUUUUUGAGAUCGGAAUUAUGAUAUAAAUAACAUAGAGUAGAUGAGCUUUCAUUUGAUAUGCAACAACUCUAUGUUCUAGAAAGUUUGAUUUUUGCACUUAAUAACCCUAUCCAACUAAUUUUUGGAGGUCGGGAUUUGAUAUUUCCAAUGUACACAUCAUGACCUUUCAUUUAAUAUACAACAACCCUAUCUUAAAAGAAAAUUUAUUUUUUGCACUCAAUGACCCCAUCCAACCCAUUUUUGGGAGACGUCAAUUUUAAAUUUGAAAUGUACGCUUUAUGUUCUUUCAUUUGAUAUGCGACAACCUUACCAUCUGAGAAAUUUGAAUGUUUGCACUAAAUGACCCCACCCGUCCUCCUGGGAUGAAAAGGGGGUUUAAAAUUUUCAUUUUUAAGUAGAGUACAUUUAGACCUUCAAUUUGAUAUAUCAGAUGACCCCAUUUGAUAAAGUGCAAAAAAUGAUGCAAUAUCAACUAUAUAAAUAGAAGUUAUGAAACUUACAAAGUCAAUGCAAAACUUGAAAAUUUCAAAUUGAAUUUUUGGCGUUUUUUUCCAUGGAAUGUUUUUGGUAUUUGGUCAAACAUAUAACUAUGUUAACCUCUUCAAUUUCUUAAACAUUUUAAGAGGUACGCUCUUGUUGAUUCAGAAAUACAUGCCUCCGCUCGCAAAACUUCAAACUGCAUUAUCUCUACAGCAACAAUAGAUAUCUCAAAUCUGUUAAAUGAUAAAUGAUCUACAGUUGAAGGACAACAUUAUAGAAAAAGAAUUGGGACAAUUUCAAAGUUCACCAAGGUCACAAUUAAUCAUCAAAUAUAUGAUGCAAUACCAAACUUAAGAACCGGAAGUCGUAGAGACACGGGACUAGCACCAUUCAACUCAGGAUCACUUGACCAUUCAAAUAUCACAAGGUCAAGGUCAUAGUAUACUGUGAAGGUCAAGGUGAAAUUUCAUCAUGACCUGACAUUGACCUCAAAUUGAAGGUCUUGAAUUACUGAUCAUCUUUGCAGUUUAUAGUAGGUUGAUAUCUGUUACCUUUAAAAAGAUAUACACAAAAUACUAUACUUUUAAGAAUCAUCCCGUUGUAACUUUUGAAUAGACGGUCGGACCUUUAUGGGCUUAUAAUAUAAAAUGUAGAGCUCGUCGAGAGGAACAUUUUAUACGCUGUAUGUAUGCAGCAAAGUCUUAUCGUUUUCCUAAUAUGUAAGCUUGAAAUUGCAGCGUAAUUUUAUUUUGCACUCUGGUGACCUUUGACCUUGGGUGCAUAUUAAAGGUCACAUGAAAUAAAGAUUAUUGGGGAAGGUCCCAAGUCUCUAUGACUUCCGGUUCUUGAAAUACAAUUUUUCUAAAAUUGAACACAAUUUUUUCAAGGGGAAAUAACUCCUUAUAAGGGUAUAGUAACAAAUUAAUUGUUUAUGUUUAUAAACAUUGCCAUCUGUUCUUGUACAUGCUGCCAUUUUCAAAUCGAUUCUAUCUGGAAUACUUUUGAGAAAAAUGCAAAGAAAGAAAUUGCUUUCAAGGGGAUAUAACUCUCAUAGGGGAUGAUGAAAUCCUAUUAGCAGCCUCAUAUGGUAAUACAUCAUGAUGAGAUCUAACUAUUGUCCAAAUAAGGUCAUGAUAUCUUUUAAAACAUUUAGGGGGGGGCAUGUUGAAAAAAAUCAAUAAAAGGGAGAUAACUUCUAAAGGGGAUGAUGAAAUCCUACAAAAGUUCAUCUGGUAAAAGUUCAUGAUGAGGUCUAUCGAUGGUUCCAUAUUUGGUCUUGAUAACUUCCAAUAGAAAGCGGUAGGAGGGCCCUGUCAAACAAAUGCUUGGAAGAAAAAAAAAAAAGAAAAAAAAAAAACAUUAGAAAAACAAUAAGGUCUUUCCUCGCGGAGAGGGAAAGACCUUAAUUAAAUCUCCCAUAAAAGGGUCUUUCCUCGCGGAGAGGAAAGACCUUAACUAGUAUCUCAAUUGUUUGUAAAACAAUUGAAAGGUCUUUCCUGUAAAAGUGAUGUUUUCGUAUUGUACUUUGUACGACCUUUUCGUUUGAUAUACGACAAGCACACCUUCUGAAACUUUUCGCUUUUUACACUUAAUGACCUCAUUUUUUGAGAUCGGAAUUAUGAUAUAUGGAACAGGUAGAAUGAGCUUCGUUUGAUAUGCGACAACACCAUGUUCUUGAAGUUUGAUUUUUUGCACUUAAUACUAUCCAACAAAUUUUGGAGGUCGGGAAUUUGAUAUUUCAAAUGUACACAUCAUGACCUUUCAUUUGAAUACAACAACCCUACCUUAAAAGAACAUUUAUUUUUUGCACUCAAUGACCCAUCCAACCCAUUUUUGGGAGACGUCAAUUUGAAAUUUGAAAUGUACGCUUUAUGUUCUUCAUUUGAAUGCGACAACCUUACCAUCUGAGAAAUUUGAAUGUUUGCACUAAAUGACCCCACCCGUCCCCCUGGAUGAAAAGGGUUUAAAUUUUCAUUUUAAGUAGAGUUUAUUAAGACCUUCAAUUUGAUAUAUCAGAUGACCCAUGACAAAGGCAAAAAAUAUGCAAUACAACUAUAUAAAUAGAAGUUAUGAAACUUACCAAAGUCAAGGCAAACUUGAAAAUUUCAAAUUGAUUUUGGUUUUUUUCCAUGGAAUGUUUUUGGUAUUUGGUCAACAUAUAACUAUGUAACCCUCUUCAAUUUCUAACAUUUUAAUGGUAAGUCUCUUGAAUUCAGAAAUACAUGCCUCGCUCGAAAAACUUCAAACUGCAUUAUCUCUAAAACGACAAUAGAUAUCUCAAAUCUGUUUAAUGAUAAAUGAUCUACAAGUUAAGGACAACAUUAUAGAAAAAGAAUUGGCAAUUUCAAAGUUCACCAAGGUCACAAUUAAUCAUCAAAUAUAUGAUGCAAUACAAACUUCAGAACCGGAAGUCGUAGAGAUAUGGGACUAUCACCAUUCAACUCAGACCACUUGACCUUUCAAUAUCACAAGGUCAAGGUCAUAGUAUAAUGUGAAGGUCAAGGUGAAAUUUCAUCAUGACCUGACAAUUGACCUCAAAAUUAAGGUCUUGAAUUACUGAUCAUCUUUGCAGUUUAUAGUAGGUUGAUAUCUGUUACCUUUAAAAAGAUAUACACACAAUACUAUACUUUUAAGAAUCAUCCCGUCGUAACUUUUGAACAGACAGUCGGACACUUUUGAGCUC